rnacentral:rRNA from 1 species
AUUGAACGCUGGCGGCAUGCCUUACACAUGCAAGUCGAACGGCAGCACGGGAGCAAUCCUGGUGGCGAGUGGCGAACGGGUGAGUAAUACAUCGGAACGUGCCCAGCUGCGGGGGAGAACCGGGCGACAGCCGGAAUAAUACCGCAUACGACCAACGGGUGAACGGGGGAGAUCGCAGGACCUCGCGCUAUCGGACGGGCCGAUGUCGGAUUAGCUAGUUGGUGGGGUAAAGGCCUACCAAGGCGACGAUCUGUAGCUGGUCUGAGAGGACGACCAGCCACACUGGAACUGAGACACGGCCCAGACUCCUACGGGAGGCAGCAGUGGGGAAUUUUGGACAAUGGGCGCAAGCCUGAUCCAGCCAUGCCGCGUGCGUGAAGAAGGCCUUCGGGUUGUAAACCGCUUUUGUCAGGGAAGAAACGCUCCGGGCUAAUACCACGGAGUAAUGACGGUACCUGAAGAAUAAGCACCGGCUAACUUCGUG